UACGGGGGGGGCAAGCGUUGUUCGGAAUUACUGGGCGUAAAGGGCGCGUAGGCGGUUCGCUAAGUUGAAUGUGAAAACUCUGGGCUUAACCCAGAGCCUGCAUUCAAUACUGGCGGGCUAGAGUUCUGGAGGGGAUAGCGGAAUUCCUGGUGUAGCGGUGAAAUGCGUAGAUAUUGGGAGGAACACCAGUGGCGAAGGCGGCUACCUGGACCGGUUCUGACGCUGAGGCGCGAAAGCGUGGGUAGCAAACAGG
rnacentral:rRNA from 1 species